rnacentral:rRNA from 1 species
UACGUAGGGUGCAAGCGUUGUCCGGAAUUAUUGGGCGUAAAGAGCUCGUAGGCGGUCUGUCACGUCGGCUGUGAAAACCCGGGGCUCAACCCCGGGCCUGCAGUCGAUACGGGCAGACUAGAGGUAUGCAGGGGAGAACGGAAUUCCUGGUGUAGCGGUGAAAUGCGCAGAUAUCAGGAGGAACACCGGUGGCGAAGGCGGUUCUCUGGGCAUGACCUGACGCUGAGGAGCGAAAGUGUGGGGAGCGAACAGG